UACGUAGGGACCGAGCGUUGUCCGGAAUCAUUGGGCGUAAAGAGCGUGUAGGCGGCCACUUAAGUCCUGCGUGAAAUCCUGCGGCUCAACCGCAGGCGGUCGUGGGAAACUGGGUGGCUAGAGUGCGGGAGAGGAGAGUGGAAUUCCUGGUGUAGCGGUGAAAUGCGUAGAGAUCAGGAGGAACACCCAUGGCGAAGGCAGCUCUCUGGUCGACAUCUGACGCUGAGACGCGAAAGCGUGGGGAGCGAACGGG
rnacentral:rRNA from 1 species